GACGAACGCUGGCGGCGUGCCUAAUACAUGCAAGUAGAACGCUGAAGAGAGGAGCUUGCUCUUCUUGGAAGAGUUGCGAACGGGUGAGUAACGCGUAGGUAACCUGCCUUGUAGCGGGGGAUAACUAUUGGAAACGAUAGCUAAUACCGCAUAACAAUGGGUGACCCAUGUCAUUCAUUUGAAAGGGGCAACUGCUCCACUACAAGAUGGACCUGCGUUGUAUUAGCUAGUAGGUGAGGUAACGGCUCACCUAGGCGACGAUACAUAGCCGACCUGAGAGGGUGAUCGGCCACACUGGGACUGAGACACGGCCCAGACUCCUACGGGAGGCAGCAGUAGGGAAUCUUCGGCAAUGGGGGCAACCCUGACCGAGCAACGCCGCGUGAGUGAAGAAGGUUUUCGGAUCGUAAAGCUCUGUUGUAAGUCAAGAACGAGUGUGAGAGUGGAAAGUUCACACUGUGACGGUAGCUUACCAGAAAGGGACGGCUAACUACGUGCCAGCAGCCGCGGUAAUACGUAGGUCCCGAGCGUUGUCCGGAUUUAUUGGGCGUAAAGCGAGCGCAGGCGGUUUGAUAAGUCUGAAGUUAAAGGCUGUGGCUCAACCAUAGUUCGCUUUGGAAACUGUCAAACUUGAGUGCAGAAGGGGAGAGUGGAAUUCCAUGUGUAGCGGUGAAAUGCGUAGAUAUAUGGAGGAACACCGAUGGCGAAAGCGGCUCUCUGGUCUGUAACUGACGCUGAGGCUCGAAAGCGUGGGGAGCGAACAGG
rnacentral:rRNA from 1 species